ensembl:lncRNA
AGAAAACCCGGAAGCAUUUGGCGUGCGGCAGAGCAGCCCUACAUUCCCACAGCCCCCUGAGCACCUGGCAUGGGUCCCCCAGCCCCCAUCUUCCAGGGUCAGCAGCAUCAUCCACACUGUGGCCAUACCCUUGGACUGUGAUUUGUCUGUUCUUACAUGGAGCCUCCACAAGAGUUGCGUUUGAUUGUAAGAGCCGGAAGGACAUGCUGACGCAGAAAAUAGUGAUUCAGUUUAAGAACCCACUAUGUGGAGAUUUACUCGAGCUACUAAGACUCUCCGUUGGCAUUUGGGACAAUCACACAUGGAAGGAACUAGGACCUCACUCAGGAUUCGGCAAAGGAAUGAGUCUGUGGAAUGGAGGUGGUCUUGGCAGUGACUGCAGAGAAGACUUUGAAAAUUGCGAAGCCCAGGUGGAGUGACUGGGUCUACAGUUGUCCCUGUAUGUACCAUUGCCAUAAGACUAAUGACAAGAAUCUUCGGUCACCUGUUGUCAGAUUUGCAUGUUAAACAUUAUUCUCCUUCUAUGUAGCCUGGCUUCCUUUCAGGCCAAACCUAAUUAUAUUUGAGCUCCUGGUUGGCAGAUGAGCUUCAUAGGAUGUUGCAUCUAAAAGGAACUGCAGAUUCAGGGAACAUGGAGUCCAAUCUGCUUAUUUUACAGAUGAGGAAACUGGGUCUCGGAAGGGUGUGGUAUGCUUAUGGUAUGUUUUAAAUGAAUGUGCAAUACAGUAGGAAAUGCUCCUUUGGUCACUUUUCAUUGAAUUUGGGAGUGAGGAAGCUUUAAAUCCAAAUAAUUUUCAAAAUAUUUUUAUUAUGACUUAGGUUAAAUGUUAUCAUGGCUAUCAGAUCAGAAAUUAUAAUGGAAAUGGAUAAGAAAGUCUAAUGGCUAGCUCUUGUGUUAUCUGACCACGCUAUCUAAUAGCAUGCAUUUAAGAGUGAUCACAUCACAAAAUCUAGAAGACAAUGCCAUGCCACAUGCAGUUAAUCUUUUUGAUAAUAAAGAGAAAGGACAAUACCUUCGAAGGCACCUGAGUCAGCUUUCUAGGUUUCUGAUCCCUUCCAGAAUAAAUGAAAACCUAAUAUAUAAAAAAACUGUAAAAAGGAUUUAAACAUUUAAUUCACAGAAAAAAAUUAAAUUACCAAUAAGCACAUGAAAAGAUAAGCAAAUUGACUCAUAGUUGAAGAAAUGCAAGUCAUAUCAUCAGCAGACAUACCUUUUCUCACUUGCAGAAUUGUCAAAAAUGUAAACAGGUGAUAGCCAGUGUUAGGAAUGCCAUGGGGAAAUAAGCACUAAAUACACUGUGGCUUGGAGCAUAAAACAAUGUGACAGUGCGCCUCUACAUUUUGACAGUAUCUUGACAAUAUCUCUCAAAAUUCAAGAUGGACAUAUCUUUUGUAAACCAAAAAUAAUAAAUUCUAAGGCCCCUCAACCAUCUGAAUGGACUCCUCCUCUUGGCCAAAGGCAUUCCAAAGUUAACCUGAAAAAACUAGUUCAGGGCAUAAUGACCAGGGGGAGCUGGACAUGCUUCAUUAUACCUCCUCCUCCUUGGAAUUACUGAUAGAACAGACUCUCUCAGUCUGAUAAGAAGCAUUUGCAGCCUAUUAUCUCUGAAGCCUGCUACCUGGAGGCUUUGUCUACGUGAUAAAACCUUGGUCUCCACAACCCCUGAUCUAACCUGGACAAUCCAUUCUACUGAUAAUAACUUUCAACCAACUGCCAACCAGAAAAUCUUUAAAUCUAUUUAUAACCUGGAAGGAGCCCCCUGCCCCCGCACAUGAGGAAUGUGAUCCCCACAUACGAGGAAGCCACUUAGCAAGUCAUGUUCUUCCAAAAAAAAAAAAAGGAUUAAUAAACUAUAAUAAGGUAAAUGCCCCUAUAAGCCCC